rnacentral:rRNA from 1 species
GGGGGAGCGGAUACNUUCAAGUCGGAGCGGACCGACGGGAGCUUGCUCCCUUAGGUCAGCGGCGGACGGGUGAGUAACACGUGGGUAACCUGCCUGUAAGACUGGGAUAACUCCGGGAAACCGGGGCUAAUACCGGAUGCUUGAUUGAACCGCAUGGUUCAAUCAUAAAAGGUGGCUUUUAGCUACCACUUACAGAUGGACCCGCGGCGCAUUAGCUAGUUGGUGAGGUAACGGCUCACCAAGGCGACGAUGCGUAGCCGACCUGAGAGGGUGAUCGGCCACACUGGGACUGAGACACGGCCCAGACUCCUACGGGAGGCAGCAGUAGGGAAUCUUCCGCAAUGGACGAAAGUCUGACGGAGCAACGCCGCGUGAGUGAUGAAGGUUUUCGGAUCGUAAAACUCUGUUGUUAGGGAAGAACAAGUACCGUUCGAAUAGGGCGGCACCUUGACGGUACCUAACCAGAAAGCCGCGGCUAACUACAUGCCAGCAGCCGCGGUAAUACGUAGGUGGCAAGCGUUGUCCAGAAUUAGUGCGCGUAAAGCGCGCGCACGCGGUUUCUUAAGUCAGAUGU